rnacentral:tRNA from 1 species
CGAGCAUUAGCCCAGUUUGGAAGGGCGCUUGCUUUGGGAGCAAGAAGUCGAGGGUUCAAGUCCCUCAUGCUCGA